AGAGUCAUUGUGUCAGUGUUAGUUUAGGUGCGUGUGUAGAGCUUGCAUGUGAUAGAUGAUAUGUGUUUGCAUGGGAGUUUGGAGAUUAGAAGACGAAAACAGGUAGGCAUUGGGGAUUAUAUGGUAUCGAUUAUAGAGUAGGGAUUAUAGGAUAGAGAUUGAUUGAUGGAUUGAUGGAUUAAUUGAUUGCUAUUGCUUAUUAAGUAAAAUAGUUUUCACAAAAGAUCACAUUACAUUUUGUAAGGAGUGUUCACUGAAAUGCCUUAAAAAGGUUUUAAAACAUUAUUAUGGCCUACUAGUACUGAAUUUCUUACAAGUUGUUUGGAACUCACCCCAAUCUAUAUUGUCUUUUCUGGUUAGGGAACCCUGAUAGGGUCAGCAAUGAGUAAUAGUGUGAGAAGAGUUUCCUAGCUUUGGAUUUAAGUUAUUCGAUAUGAGCUAUUAUAAAUUUAUGUAUUUAAAUUUGUGUGGCUUAACUGUCUUAUGUAAUAGAAUUUUAUAUUUAGAAUUUAAAUAAAAAAAGAUAUUUAUUUUACUACUUACCUGUAUAUGAAUGAAAU
rnacentral:lncRNA from 1 species